UAAAUAGGAGUGAAAAAUAAAAUUAACAAAUCUCCUAAAAGAUUGUAAAAAUAAAAACAACAAACCUAGCUAAAUAAAAAUUACAAAUCUACCUAAAAUAUAAAAAUAACGAACCUAGGUGAAAUAUAAAAAUAAGAAAUCAACCUAAAAUAUAAUAAAACUAAAUCUAACUAAAAUAAUAAUAUACAGAAGAAAUCCUCCUACAUCAGUCUCCUCUACCUCAAAAGAACUCGACCCCGAGUUCUCGUUUUGAUAAAGAACUUCCUUUGCAGGUUGACUCCUCCAAUGAACAAGAGACCACCCUCCUGGAUCACAUUGAAUGAAGUGAGAGGACCUGUCUCGUGUCAACACAUCCAAAUGACCACCGGGGUUCCAUUGCUCAAAGAUAGCACACAAAAUU
rnacentral:lncRNA from 1 species